rnacentral:rRNA from 1 species
GAUGAACGCUGGCGGCGUGCCUAAUACAUGCAAGUCGAGCGAACAGACGAGGAGCUUGGUCCUCUGACGUUAGCGGCGGACGGGUGAGUAACACGUGGAUAACCUACCUAUAAGACUGGGAUAACUUCGGGAAACCGGAGCUAAUACCGGAUAAUAUAUUGAACCGCAUGGUUCAAUAGUGAAAGACGGUUUUGCUGUCACUUAUAGAUGGAUCCGCGCCGCAUUAGCUAGUUGGUAAGGUAACGGCUUACCAAGGCAACGAUGCGUAGCCGACCUGAGAGGGUGAUCGGCCACACUGGAACUGAGACACGGUCCAGACUCCUACGGGAGGCAGCAGUAGGGAAUCUUCUGCAAUGGGCGAAAGCCUGACGGAGCAACGCCGCGUGAGUGAUGAAGGUCUUCGGAUCGUAAAACUCUGUUAUUAGGGAAGAACAAAUGUGUAAGUAACUAUGCACGUCUUGACGGUACCUAAUCAGAAAGCCACGGCUAACUACGUG